UGGCUCAGUGGUUAGAGCACUGGCUGCUCUUCCAGAGGUCCUGGGUUCAAUUCCCAG
rnacentral:tRNA from 1 species